CCCAGAAUUGGUUGUCACAUGUACAAACCUCUAAUACGGAAUCUGAAUAAAAUAUACAAGUCUCAUAGUAAAGUUCUAGAAUAGAACAGAACAGUAAAUAUAGAUAACUUGAGGGCACGUCUGGAAUGAACCGCUACCUCUCAAGUAAGUCUGGAAGCUCUAAUAUGAAGAUGAGUAAUAAGCCGGAUCUGAUAGAGCUGUCAACCUACACAACUGUGUAGAAGCAAGGGUGAGUACCAAAAGCAACAGGUACUCGCAAGUAACACUAAACUAAGCUAAACUAGCAGCUACAAACAACUCCUUUCAAUCCCAACCGAACCACCGAAACUUCAUUCUAACAGCGAACCAACAACCUAUACUACACAAUUCAUAAUCAACAGAUAUAUCCAACAGUAUCUCAACAUCAACCUCAUAUCCUCAUAUAAGAGCAAAUAGAUCAUAUAUCACAUGAAGAGGAGCAAGUAGGUAAAAUCCACACACCACAGACAAAGAUGAAGUCAAAUGCGAUGCAAAUGCAAUAAUGAUGUCAUGUAGUCGUGAUGCAUGUCUGUCCUAAGAUACACAUCUGUUGACGUAAUCAGACCGCGCUGAAUACUCAAAUCAGAACCCAUGGGGGCCACACAUGGACCAUGUAUCACCGCCGGAACCAGAUCCCAUCGGCAUCCAAAUCGCUAGCCGGAGCUAGUCCAUCUCAUAUAUCUCUAGCCGGAGCUAGUCUCAACUGUGUCUCAUAUCCAUCCAUCCUCAUAUCAGUGUCUCAGAACUCAUGCAACAGAUAGUUCACACAUGGGAUGAAUAAUGAAUAUGCACAUGUCAUCAAUCACAAUCAUAUCACGAUCACAUCAUAGUAUUACACAUCAUCUGUCUCAACAUCAAUGUCUGUAUCAAUCAUAACCUACUCAUGCUCUUCUAUCCCCUCAAUAUCAGUUAUCACAUGACUUAUUCAACAAAUUCAAGUCACAUAUAACACAUUUAGCUCGUUUUAUUCCCCAUCUUUCAUUUACAACAAUUCCAAUCAACAAAUAAAACCCAUCCUCAAUCCCCAUUACUCCCCAACACAAUUAGGAAAGUAGUCAUGUGUAGUCUAAGAGUUUAACAAAGUUUAGAAGUCACUUGCCUCAAAACACUUCAACUAGUAACUCAAAUUUGAGUUUUACCCUUCCGAGCACGCUCCAAAUCACCACAAUCCAAUGAAUUCCUUGCG
rnacentral:lncRNA from 1 species